GUAAUUGUUGUUUUCAAUAACAUUUACUACAGGAUACUGCAGCCUGACUCUGGUUUGAUUCUUAGAGGAACUGCUUGUCUUUCAAGUAGCUGCAAUCAGCUCCCAAGGCUUUAUAUAAUGCGGCAGCAAACUCAGAAUACGGUGCAUAAAGUUUUCAUAGCUGCAUUAGACUGGAAAACAUCCUGGCCCGCAUUCCAACUCCUGCCAUCUCCAGUUCUGCUGCUGAGAGCUCCCAACCUCAGUCUCGGUGACAGGUAUAGAUCCACUGUAUAGACCAUGAGCAACCUGGCUCAUGGUCUGGGCCACCAAACUCGGGUGCAGGGGGAUUCUUAAGGGAUGGAAAAGUGUGAGAGAGGGAGACUGGGAUAAACCUGUGUGGGGAAGGAGUCACUCAGUGGUGGACAAUCACCCACAGAUAUUUACAUUUGGAGACAGAAUCAACAGUGCAAGGCCAGACCUGUGCCCUCAUUGCUCUCAAAAAUAAAAAGAGAUGUCUGGAAAUUAAAGCAAGUGUCUGAGAUUAUACUGUUUUCUUGCAUCUUGACUCUUACAGCUAAGGACAAACGUGAUGCUGUUGCCUGUGUUUUCCUUAGAACCACAGAAUGGCUUGAGUUGGAAGGGACCUCAGUCAUUAUCCAGUUCCACUCCUACACCAUGGGCAGGGUUGCCAACUUACUCAGGCAUCUUUAUGGGCACAGAGCAGCAUAUGCCUCUGCCCUUCACAAUGACUUUCUUCAAGCACUUGAUGAAGACAUAUACCAUUCUGAACCACAUUUGAGGGUGUUUCCAACUAAGCUUGGUGAGGGAUGAAGCUAUAAGGACUCAUUGCCAAGAAAUGCUAGUGGAUACACACCUUCACCCCUCUUGCAGAGAACUAUUGAUGGGCUCACGUGGCUGAGAUAUUUAUGAAGAAACUUCUUGUACAAGAGGAGGUUUAUUCCUCAGAGAAUGAAUCAAUCCAGGAUUGUCACUUCUAGAUUGAAAUACGCCAAGAUGAAUAUCUCUUCCACUUCAUACUGUUAUCACUCUUUGUUACCAACUUAUUAUGGACUACAGGUAGCAAGUGCUUCUGGACUUACAGCAAUACACCAAAGGUGUCAGAUGGCCAGGAGCUUCCAACCAGACCCUGCAUGAUUUGAGUGGCCCAAUGGAUUGUUUUGGUUCUACUUGUGAGCUAUUUUGAAAUAUUACAGUGUCCAUUACCGCAGUAUUAGCACUUCACUGUCCUUAAUGCUGUUUAAUCCAUCAGUUUUAGAGUCCCAAACCAAGGACUCCCUGCCAGCAGUCACCGCUACCGAUGCAGUGCACACUGUCAGAUUGCAACCUUGGCCAUAACAAGGUCAUGUAAUAAAGCACAUGACAGAGGAAAGACUGUAAUAAUAAUUAUUUCCAUUGUGUAUAAUAAAUAAUAUAAUAAAGCUUAGUUGUAAGCAUUAGAAGAGCCGUGAAAGUCAAGGCAGAUCUUUUGUGUUUGAUUCUCUCCUUCUGUGUACAGAAAUAAGAAAAAAAAAAAGGAAAAGAAUUGGUAGAAUGUUCCAGCUAAAGCAGAGCUGGUUCCAGAGAAGCUGAGAAAGAAAUGAGAUGGUGUCUCAACUAUGGCAAUGCAGAAUAGAAACUUAAUAUUUGUUCUGCAGUUUGUGUUCUGCGUUACUUUACUUUAAGGGACUGGGAAGUGUUUGAUUGAAAAAGGACUCCUUUCCCAGGGUGUAUCACUCAUCCAGAUUUCCCUUUGUAACUCGGGGUACUCAAAGUCAUUUCUUCCACCAAAAUCUGUCUGAUAUCUCUGUCUUUCUGGAGCUUCACACAUGACUGGAAAUCAAGCAUUCAAGGCAAAUACUACAGUUAAGUAUUAAACCUGACAGUUUUAUAUGUCUAGUACAAUAAUUGAUUCCAUGUUAUGCUAACCUACUCCACAGGUUAAAGCAGUGAGGGACAGCUCCAUCUCAUACAGGAGUCCCUGAAUUAUUAUUUUUAAGGUAUUUAAAAGCACCGAGGCAAUUCACAUUUCUAUUUUAUAAGCAUUUGUAUGGUUGAAGAAUAGAAUACAGGGAGCACUUGCACCGUCUAAAGGAGAAACUCAACCCUGAAGUUUCCUCUGAAAAAAAAGAAAACAUAGUAAAAUAAUAGAAAAAUAUUAAACAG
ensembl:lncRNA